rnacentral:rRNA from 1 species
GGCUCAGGACGAACGCUGGCGGCGUGCCUAAUACAUGCAAGUCGAGCGGACAGAAGGGAGCUUGCUCCCGGAUGUUAGCGGCGGACGGGUGAGUAACACGUGGGUAACCUGCCUGUAAGACUGGGAUAACUCCGGGAAACCGGAGCUAAUACCGGAUAGUUCCUUGAACCGCAUGGUUCAAGGAUGAAAGACGGUUUCGGCUGUCACUUACAGAUGGACCCGCGGCGCAUUAGCUAGUUGGUGGGGUAAUGGCUCACCAAGGCGACGAUGCGUAGCCGACCUGAGAGGGUGAUCGGCCACACUGGGACUGAGACACGGCCCAGACUCCUACGGGAGGCAGCAGUAGGGAAUCUUCCGCAAUGGACGAAAGUCUGACGGAGCAACGCCGCGUGAGUGAUGAAGGUUUUCGGAUCGUAAAGCUCUGUUGUUAGGGAAGAACAAGUGCGAGAGUAACUGCUCGCACCUUGACGGUACCUAACCAGAAAGCCACGGCUAACUACGUGCCAGCAGCCGCGGUAAUACGUAGGUGGCAAGCGUUGUCCGGAAUUAUUGGGCGUAAAGGGCUCGCAGGCGGUUUCUUAAGUCUGAUGUGAAAGCCCCCGGCUCAACCGGGGAGGGUCAUUGGAAACUGGGAAACUUGAGUGCAGAAGAGGAGAGUGGAAUUCCACGUGUAGCGGUGAAAUGCGUAGAGAUGUGGAGGAACACCAGUGGCGAAGGCGACUCUCUGGUCUGUAACUGACGCUGAGGAGCGAAAGCGUGGGGAGCGAACAGGAUUAGAUACCCUGGUAGUCCACGCCGUAAACGAUGAGUGCUAAGUGUUAGGGGGUUUCCGCCCCUUAGUGCUGCAGCUAACGCAUUAAGCACUCCGCCUGGGGAGUACGGUCGCAAGACUGAAACUCAAAGGAAUUGACGGGGGCCCGCACAAGCGGUGGAGCAUGUGGUUUAAUUCGAAGCAACGCGAAGAACCUUACCAGGUCUUGACAUCCUCUGACAACCCUAGAGAUAGGGCUUUCCCUUCGGGGACAGAGUGACAGGUGGUGCAUGGUUGUCGUCAGCUCGUGUCGUGAGAUGUUGGGUUAAGUCCCGCAACGAGCGCAACCCUUGAUCUUAGUUGCCAGCAUUCAGUUGGGCACUCUAAGGUGACUGCCGGUGACAAACCGGAGGAAGGUGGGGAUGACGUCAAAUCAUCAUGCCCCUUAUGACCUGGGCUACACACGUGCUACAAUGGACAGAACAAAGGGCUGCAAGACCGCAAGGUUUAGCCAAUCCCAUAAAUCUGUUCUCAGUUCGGAUCGCAGUCUGCAACUCGACUGCGUGAAGCUGGAAUCGCUAGUAAUCGCGGAUCAGCAUGCCCGGUGAAAUACCUUUCCCGGGGCCUUGUACACACCGCCCGUCACACCACGAGAGUUUGCAACACCCGAAGUCGGUGAGGUAACCUUUAUGGAGCCAGCCGCCGAAGGUGGGGCAGAUGAUUGGGGUGAAGCU